rnacentral:rRNA from 1 species
AGCAGGCGCGCAAAUUACCCAAUCCCGACACGGGGAGGUAGUGACAAUAAAUAACAAUACGGGGCUCUUUCGGGUCUCGUAAUUGGAAUGAGUACAAUUUAAAUCCCUUAACGAGGAACAAUUGGAGGGCAAGUCUGGUGCCAGCGGCCGCGGUAAUUCCAGCUCCAAUAGCGUAUAUUAAAGUUGUUGCAGUUAAAAAGCUCGUAGUUGAAUUUCGGGAUUGACACAUCGGUCGUGCCUUAAGGGGUAUGAACUGGUGUAGUCAAUUUCUCACCUUCUGGAGAACCGCGAUGCCCUUAAUUGGGUGUCACGGGGAACCAGGACCUUUACUUUGAAAAAAUUAGAGUGUUUAAAGCAGGCAUUUUGCUUGAAUACAUUAGCAUGGAAUAAUAAAAUAGGACGGCAUGAUUCUAUUUUGUUGGUUUCUAGGAUCACCGUAAUGAUUAAUAGGGAUAGUUGGGGGCAUUAGUAUUCAAUUGUCAGAGGUGAAAUUCUUGGAUUUAUUGAAGACUAACUACUGCGAAAGCAUUUGCCAAGGAUGUUUUCAUUAAUCAAGAACGAAAGUUAGGGGAUCGAAGACGAACAGAUACCGUCGUAGUCUUAACCAUAAACUAUGCCGACUAGGAAUCAGACGAUGUUAAUUUUUUAAUGACUCGUUUGGCACCUUACGGGAAACCAAAGUGUUUGGGUU